rnacentral:rRNA from 1 species
AACGAACGCUGGCGGCAUGCCUAACACAUGCAAGUCGAACGAGACCUUCGGGUCUAGUGGCGCACGGGUGCGUAACGCGUGGGAACCUUCCCUUAGGUUCGGAAUAACUCCCCGAAAGGGGUGCUAAUACCGGAUAAUGUCUUCGGACCAAAGAUUUAUCGCCUUUGGAUGGGCCCGCGUUGGAUUAGCUAGUUGGUAGGGUAAAAGCCUACCAAGGCGACGAUCCAUAGCUGGUCUGAGAGGAUGAGCAGCCACACUGGGACUGAGACACGGCCCAGACUCCUACGGGAGGGAGCAGUGGGGAAUAUUGGAAAAUGGGCGAAAGCCUGAUCCAGCAAUGCCGCGUGAGUGAUGAAGGCCUUAGGGUUGUAAAGCUCUUUUACCCGGGAUGAUAAUGACAGUACCGGGAGAAUAAGCUCCGGCUAACUCCGUG